UCGGGUGUGGUGUACGGUACACAGCGAACUUUCCUUAUGUAGGAUGCCCUGCUGAAGAGAAUACAAGUCGCUGAACGGGGUUCGACUCCCCGCGCCCGAA